rnacentral:rRNA from 1 species
UGGGGAAUAUUGCACAAUGGGCGCAAGCCUGAUGCAGCCAUGCCGCGUGUGUGAAGAAGGCCUUCGGGUUGUAAAGCACUUUCAGCGGGGAGGAAGGCGAUAAGGUUAAUAACCUUGUCGAUUGACGUUACCCGCAGAAGAAGCACCGGCUAACUCCGUGCCAGCAGCCGCGGUAAUACGGAGGGUGCAAGCGUUAAUCGGAAUUACUGGGCGUAAAGCGCACGCAGGCGGUCUGUCAAGUCGGGUGUGAAAUCCCCGGGCUCAACCUGGGAACUGCAUUCGAAACUGGCAGGCUAGAGUCUUGUAGAGGGGGGUAGAAUUCCAGGUGUAGCGGUGAAAUGCGUAGAGAUCUGGAGGAAUACCGGUGGCGAAGGCGGCCCCCUGGACAAAGACUGACGCUCAGGUGGGAAAGCGUGGGGAGCAAACAGG